rnacentral:rRNA from 1 species
CAAUAGCGUAUAUUAAAGUUGUUGCAGUUAAAAUGCUCGUAGUUGAAGUUCGGAUGCAGCAGAGCUUGGAAACGCUGUUAUGGUGCUUCCGUUGCUUUUGCUUGUCCACAGUGCGUUGCAAGUACGUAUGUGCUUGUGCGUGCAUUUUACUUUGAGAAACAUAGGGUGUUCCACGCAUGUUACGGCAUGAAUAUUCCAGCAUGGGAUAAUCUGGUACGACUUCCAAUCUGCCAUUUUGGUUCGUAGGUUGGAAGUAAUGAUUAAUAGGGACUGUCGGGGGCAUUGGUAUUUGACUGUCAGAGGUGAAAUUCUUAGAUUCGUUGAGGACCAACCACUGCGAAAGCAUUUGCCAAGGAUGUUUUCAUUAA